rnacentral:rRNA from 1 species
CUGGGCAAGGCAUCUUUCCACUUGUACACCAUCCGCAGAACAAGGCAUAACCGGGAAAGUCAUGCAUGCAAUAUUGUAGCCAAACUUUCAUCAAGAAAUUUUUCUGCAGAUGUCGGUCAUAUGUCAACCUCGGGAAGUACCAAGAAUGGUGCAAAUCAUCCACCAACGGCUGCAUAAACACACUCAAAUUCUUCCCCGAAUAUUCAGGCCCCGGAAUUAUAAGCGACAGGAACAUGGUCUUGCGUUGCAUUAUGGCGCCGGGAGGGAGAUCCAGCGGAAUAACAAAUACGGGCCAACAGCUGUAUGGAUUAGACGACAUACCAUAUGGAUUGAACCCAUCACCUGUUAUAGCAAUUCUGACAUUCCCAGCCUCGGCUGCUUCCUCCGGGUACUCUAUAUCGAAUGACUUCCAUGCUUCACCUCCUGAUGGAUGUACAAUUUUUUUGGAUUGUACCUUUUCCCUUCCUUGUGCCACUUCAUCAUUUUGGCAGACUCCUCGGUGAUGAAAAGGCGCUGCAGUCUUUUUAUAAAAUCAAGAUACCAAAGAACCUUCACAGGGAUUUUUAGCUGCUGCUU